UAUGGUAGUGAAACUUCCUUGUCAAAGCCUGAUCUCGUCAGAUCUCAGAGGCUAAGCAAGGCCGGGGCUGGUUGGUACUUGGAUGGGAGACUGCUUUUUUUCCCAAUGGGCGCCAUUG
rnacentral:rRNA from 1 species